rnacentral:lncRNA from 1 species
CACAGCUCGAAACAGCCUUAGGUUUCAUCGUCACCUUCCACUGAGUACUGAAGCCUGGACAUGAUGUGUGUGGGCAGCUGUUCCUACUACCAGGCAUGCUGUGGGCAGCUUCAGAUGUCCCCAUGAGCCCUGCACUGUGGGAUGACUGCAGAGAUAAAGACCAGCUGGAGAAGUUGGGGAGCAAUCCUGGAGUCAGACGGGAGACAUUUGCCUGGAGCAAUGAGGCCCAGGACACCUUGGACAAAGGUGCCUCCUUGCCUCUGCCUUCACCCUGUGGGUCCAGGAAUACUUUGCUACUGCUGGCCCCGGCAAGUGGACAAAUCACCCCCUCUGAGAACACAGCCAGAUCUGAUGGAGGGGCGGGAGCUGUGGUGAGUUGACUCCUUUGUGGCAUGAUACUGGCUCAGACCUUCCUGGGCCGCCCCACAUUACUGCAUCCAGGAAGCUGAACUAGAGCUGCUUUUUUUUUGGUACCAGGGAUCGAACUCGGGACCUUGCACUUUCGAGGCAGGAGCCGGAACCACCGAGCUAAAUCCCCAGCCCCUGAACUAGAGCUGGUGAAGGUGAAGAGCUUUUGAAGGUGAAGGCAGAGAGGUUUGUGAAUGUUAAGCCACUUGUCUGCAUCCGCAGAGCUGGUGGAUGAGAGGACUUUAAUCCCUGGUGGCACGGCUCUGGGGCCUGUACUUGCCCAGGCAGCUAUAGCAGGCAGCCCUGUUGACAUUGACUUUACCCCGUGUAAGCUAUGUGUCCCUGGGAAUCCCUGUGCUUCUGAG